AAGAUUUUCUGGAAAAUACUGUUAUUGUAAUGUAGGCAUUUGAAUGGAAACAAGGCAUAGUACUGAAGAAUUUUCAGCAGAAGGGGAAAAUAUUGUUAAGAAUGUAAUUCAGUACUGGAAACAUUUGAGAAAAUGAUGGAGUUAAAACCCUCAACUGAAUACUGAUGACUGAA